rnacentral:hammerhead_ribozyme from 1 species
AUCCAACUAACGAGUGUGAAAUAGGGCGAAACGUGAGUCCUGGAU